GGGGUUGUGGCUCUGUGGUAGAGCACUUGCCUAACAUGUGUGAGGCACUGGGUUCAAUUCUCAGCACCA
rfam:Ictidomys tridecemlineatus contig046158, whole genome shotgun sequence.